CACGCUGUAAACGAUGUCGAUUUGGAGGUUGUUCCCUUGAGGAGUGGCUUCCGGAGCUAACGCGUUAAAUCGACCGCCUGGGGAGUACGGCCGCAAGGUUAAAACUCAAAUGAAUUGACGGGGGCCCGCACAAGCGGUGGAGCAUGUGGUUUAAUUCGAUGCAACGCGAAGAACCUUACCUACUCUUGACAUCCAGAGAGUUUAGCAGAGAUGCUUUAGUGCCUUCGGGAACUCUGAGACAGGUGCUGCAUGGCUGUCGUCAGCUCGUGUUGUGAAAUGUUGGGUUAAGUCCCGCAACGAGCGCAACCCUUAUCCUUUGUUGCCAGCACGUUAUGGUGGGAACUCAAAGGAGACUGCCGGUGAUAAACCGGAGGAAGGUGGGGAUGACGUCAAGUCAUCAUGGCCCUUACGAGUAGGGCUACACACGUGCUACAAUGGCGUAUACAAAGAGAAGCGACCUCGCGAGAGCAAGCGGAACUCAUAAAGUACGUCGUAGUCCGGAUUGGAGUCUGCAACUCGACUCCAUGAAGUCGGAAUCGCUAGUAAUCGUAGAUCAGAAUGCUACGGUGAAUACGUUCCCGGGCCUUGUACACACCGCCCGUCACACCAUGGGAGUGGGUUGCAAAAGAAGUAGGUAGCUUAACCUUCGGGAGGGCGCUUACCACUUUGUGAUUCAUGACUGGGGUGAAGUCGUAACAAGGUAACCA
rnacentral:rRNA from 1 species